CAUGGUAAGGCGUAAGUCAUCGGUUCAAAUCCGAUAAAGGGCU
rnacentral:tRNA from 2 species